AAUAAUGGAGUCCCACAUGAAGCUCUUGCAGCAAGAAACAUUCCAACAACAAUACCACCAACAUGCAUGAUCGUUGGGAGCCAAAUUCUGAGUCCAAAUCCUGCGUGAAUGGCACCUUUCCAUUUUAUGCAAUGAACAUGAUUGCUGUUGUUCUCCAGGUAGCACCCAUUUCGACAAUUAACACAGUGGAGGCCAUUGAACCAUGAAAGCUGGAACCCAAAUGCCAGAUCUUUAUGAAUUUCAAUGAAGGACACCUUCUUUGCAGCAAAUGGAAACAAAGUGAUCAUCUCCACGGUGCACGAGUCCAUCAAAUCAGAUGCCUGUAUGCUGCCUAUAGCCACAUAUGAGUAGUUCCCUCCACUGAUGCAAGGCGCAGUGUCCACAUAAGUAAGACGAAAAUUCACCGCUGGAUUUGGGCACUUGAUGAACGUAAUCGUGUCCGAUAAAAAGAACCUCAAUACUCCAGGGUACAACCAUUUGUAAUUAUAAUACGAGUAUGGAUCUCCCCAUUCGAAGGGGUAAUGAGUCAAAGGAAAACGAGGAAUAGAGGAACAGUCAUCUUGCUGGACGCCAGCAUCCACCAGUCGGAUUGUGAAGUUCUGGUAAUUGAUGGCCUGCACAUAGUAUUUUCCUCCAUAUAGAUUUAACACCGUCGAAUUAUUUUCACAAGACAGGUUAUAUCUAUGGUCUCCA
rnacentral:misc_RNA from 1 species